rnacentral:rRNA from 1 species
GCAGCCGCGGUAAUACGGAGGGUCCAAGCGUUAUCCGGAAUCAUUGGGUUUAAAGGGUCCGUAGGCGGGCCUGUAAGUCAGUGGUGAAAUCUCCGGGCUCAACCCGGAAACUGCCGUUGAUACUAUUUAUCUUGAAUUCUGUUGAGGUGGGCGGAAUACAUCAUGUAGCGGUGAAAUGCUUAGAUAUGAUGUAGAACACCGAUUGCGAAGGCAGCUCACUAAGCAGACAUUGACGCUGAGGCACGAAAGCGUGGGGAUCAAA